rnacentral:tRNA from 1 species
AACUUGUUAGGAUAACCAAUCCAUUGAUUUGUGGUGUCAAUAAUACUUAUAGUACAGGUUC